rnacentral:rRNA from 1 species
UACGUAGGGGGCGAGCGUUGUCCGGAAUCAUUGGGCGUAAAGAGCUCGUAGGCGGCUCGGUAAGUCGGGUGUGAAACCCCCAGGCUCAACCUGGGGACGCCACCCGAUACUGCUGUGGCUAGAGUCCAGUAGGGGAGUGUGGAAUUCCCGGUGUAGCGGUGAAAUGCGCAGAUAUCGGGAGGAACACCAGCGGCGAAGGCGGCACUCUGGGCUGGAACUGACGCUGAGGAGCGAAAGCGUGGGUAGCAAACAGG